GAGGGAACACAUAAGGUCAAUUAGCUAAUAUGGGAUUGAGCUAGGAUUCAAAUCCAGGCUGUUUAGAAGCUACACUCUUAAUCAUGGCUCUAAUUAUAGUGGUAAUGACAAUAAGAAUUAUAGUUAUUAUUCCGGGAGACUGUGAGCUCUCAGUCCCGGAGGUGGCAGGGUGAGGCCAGGCAGGCCCUGGGGAUCCCUGCUCGGGUUCAGGGAGGGCCAGUGACUCCAGGCUCAUUUCAGCAUUCAGUAGGUCAGAAACACCGAGGAGGGGUAGGGACUGGUAGAAGAAGGUACCCCUCCUUUUGCCAGCAGGGCCCUGGAUGGCCUUGUUGCAGCUGAAGGAAGAGGAUCUUGGGGGCCAUGCUGGCACCUCCAAAGACCCAAGGCUGCAGCCAGUCGGGAUAUUGAAGAAGCGCUAGGGUCCAGGAGGAUCCUGCCUUCUGGGUCAGUUUUUGGUCUUCCUGGUUGCAGCCCCCUUCCCCCUUUGCUGAGGUUUCCAAUUUGCCUGAAAGCUGAGACCCGGGGUCAGAGCUUCCUACUAGGACUGGUCCCUCCUGAAGAUGACCCCACCCCACGCCCAGUGGUGGA
rnacentral:lncRNA from 1 species